rnacentral:rRNA from 1 species
UACAGAGGUCUCAAGCGUUGUUUCGGAUUCAGUUGGGCGUAAAGGGUGCGUAGGCGGCGCGGUAAAGUCGGGUGUGAAAUCUCGGAGCUUAACUUCGAAACUGCAUUCGAUACUGCCGUGCUUGAGGACUGGAGAGGAGACUGGAAUUACGGUGAGCGGUGAAAUGCGUAGAUAUCGUAAGGAAGACUCAGUGGCGAAGGCGGGUCUCUGGACAGUUCCUGACGCUGGAGGCAACGAAGGCCAGGGGAGCAAACGGG